UACGAAGGGUGCAAGCGUUAAUCGGAAUUACUGGGCGUAAAGGGUGCGUAGGCGGUUCGUUAAGUCUGUCGUGAAAUCCCCGGGCUCAACCUGGGAAUGGCGAUGGAUACUGGCGAGCUAUAGUGUGUCAGAGGAUGGUGGAAUUCCCGGUGUAGCGGUGAAAUGCGUAGAGAUCGGGAGGAACAUCAGUGGCGAAGGCGGCCAUCUGGGACAACACUGACGCUGAAGCACGAAGGCGUGGGGAGCAAACAGG
rnacentral:rRNA from 1 species